rnacentral:rRNA from 1 species
GACGAACGCUGGCGGCGUGCUUAACACAUGCAAGUCGAACGGUGAAGGGACCGGUUUUUGCUGGUUCUGGAUGAGUGGCGAACGGGUGAGUAACACGUGAGUAACCUGCCCCCUUCUUCUGGAUAACCGCAUGAAAGUGUGGCUAAUACGGGAUAUUCUGCGCCUGCUGCAUGGUGGGUGUGGGAAAGAUAUUGUUUCGGUGGGGGAUGGGCUCGCGGCCUAUCAGCUUGUUGGUGGGGUGAUGGCCUACCAAGGCGGUGACGGGUAGCCGGCCUGAGAGGGUGGAGGGUAACACUGGGACUGGGACACGGCCCAGACUCCUACGGGAGGCAGCAGGGGGGAAUAUUGCACAAUGGGCGCAAGCCUGAUGCAGCGACGCCGCGUGAGGGAUGGAGGCCUUCGGGUUGUAAACCUCUUUCGCCAGUGAAGCAGGCCUGUCCCUUUUGUGGGUGGGUUGACGGUAGCUGGAUAAGAAGCGCCGGCUAACUACGUG